rnacentral:piRNA from 1 species
UUACUAGGGUGCUGUUGGGAGCAGUGAA